rnacentral:lncRNA from 1 species
GGCAGGAGAGCUGUGCAGCUUGAGGGGGUCCUGAGUCUCCUUUGCAAAAUGCUGAGUGACACGGACAUCGGGAAUAACUCGGCCCCCGCUGCUGUCUGAGGAGGUGGGGGUAGAGAAGGACACAGGGGCAGCGAGCUGGGUGGGACUGGUACCAGGGGUAAGGGGGCCACCAUUUUGCUUCAUUGGGUCCAUGUAUGCACUCUCAGCAUUUAGAAACUGCUUCUCCUUCUUUUUGUCCUCAGCAAAAGCCAGGUCUCGUGAGGAGGCCUGCCGCAUGCGGACUAUGCUCUGUGAUGUCUGAAGGAUUUCUUCGUACACGGCUGCUCCCAGGCUGGCUGGCGUGCCCUCUGCGGCAGGCUGAGCAGCCUGGCCAUACUCACGGUCUGUAGUGUCUUGAUAUUCGAAGGAGCCCAGGCCCCGGGGGCCUGUGGGCUGAGAGGGGCCGCCAUGGGGUCCCCGGGCCCCUGCUGCCUGGCCUUGCUGCCUCUGGAGCAGCUCAGCUUUGCGCAUCAUCUCCUCAUAAGCCUCCUCAGCGCUCUUGAGCGGCCGUCCGGAACUGGGAGUGGUGGAGCUGCCGGAGGGUGUCUCGGUUGGAUAUCCUCCAGCUCCUCAUCAGAGUCAAAGGCCUCAGGCGUGAUGGACAAGGAGUGGGGCCGCUGCUUCUGCUCCUCGCCAGUACCGCUGGAGAGUGGCUUGCUCCGCUCACUUGGGGCCAGGCCCUGGGCCUGCAGCAAAGGCCGCAUGCUGCUCCCCACCUUGUGGAUCUCGGAGGGGCUGGGUGGAUGUGGCCCUGUCACCCCUGCACUGUCCAGCUGUUCCACCUCCUGCUGCACGACUCCUGUGAUCUCACUCUGGGAGCUAGAGAUGCCGUCAGAGGAAUAGCCUGUGUCACUGAGGCUCUGUGGGCUCCGAGACGCAUCCUGAGAGUAAGGCUUGCCCACCAGGUCCUGCAGCAGGGUGAAAAGCAGACACUGACUCCCCAUGGCAAAGCUCGUGGUGGGAACCCAAUCCUCCCUGUCAAUCCCAGGACCCUGGGGAAGAGUCUGUCCAUUUCCCAAGGGUUUAGGGCCCGCCACCCACCCUAUCUCCUUCUGGCCUUGAAUAACCUGAAGGUUCCAUGGCAAGCCCAAACCAGCCCUUGGUCUUCAAAGAGAAACUUUACUAGAUCAAAGGGUAUCAAAACCCAGCAAAGCAUCUGACAAGGUGCCAGACACAGCACCAGUGUAAAACCCACAGUCUCCAAGCGUGCCAGAACCUCAUCUAGACUUUCCUUCUACUGUGUCCCUUCCCUCCUGUGUGGCCCCAAGGCACCUGUCCUGAGCCUACAGCCUCAGCCACCCAGGGAGGCAAGCCUUUCCAUAGACUGUCCUGUCUGAAAGCUAGGGUCUCUGGGAAGUGAAUGGGACUGACCUCCGCCUCCCCACCCUUGGGGGCUUCUGGAACAGCCUUGACGACAGGGGUGGCAGGUUCAGCCCUCCUCACCCCACUCUUUACUUUAGGAGUCGCAGGGGUUGGGGUAGUCUCUGGAGGUGGCUUCGGCAUGGGCUCAGCUUUAGUGGGGACUCGGGUCUUCUUUUCCUGGACACUGCUUGGGGUCUUGCUGGGUUCAGAAGCCCUGAGGGGCUUGGCCUGGGGGCUGGCCUUGCUGGGCAGAGGGCUGGCCUUGGUGGAUAGAGGGCUGGCCUUGGCAGGCAGGGGGCCUGAAGGCUGGCCCAGCCCCUGUGGCCCUUUCUGCUUCAGAGGGGAUGUUCCAGAUGCACGGUGAGGGGCCCCUACAGGGGGCUGCUGUGAGGUGGGCGGCGGCAGGGGGGUCGGCUCUCCUAGG